rnacentral:misc_RNA from 1 species
GUCUCACCGGUCACGACCACCACGAUCCACCAACCAAAACACCCACCCACCUACACACACACGCACACACACACACACACACACAAAAAAAAAAGCGUGCGGAGCCUCUUUAUAAACCUUGUUUCCUCACGCAUCGGCCGCUGCCGGACGCCUUCCGCGUCGUCGUUGAGCCAGUGUCAUCGAGUGCGGCGCGCACCACCACCACCACCCGGAGAGGGUAAACAAGUGCAUUGCUCUACCGCCUCGCGGGCCGCUUGCGCAGACAUCGAGGGACCGCUCCUGCACUCUCGCUGCAGCGAUGGAGCGCUUGAGCGCGGGCCCGGCGGGUGGUGACGCCGCCGAAACCGCGGCAGUGCCACCGGGCACCGCCGUUGGUGGCCGCCCGCCCAGUCAGGCUUCCACGUCCACGGCGUCCCCGCCCCCGGUGGCCACGCAGCUGACCGACACGCAGCUGCUGCAGCUCUCCCUUUGCAGCGCCGUCGCGUCGGCGGCCGCCGGAAAGGCGACCGUUGCCGCGAACAACUACGCCCUCGUCAUCAAGAUCAUCUUCCGCAAGUGCUUCCUGCUGGAGGAGCUCGUGUUGCUGGCGCUCGCCAUGGGCUACGAGACUCGCAAAGCCGCUCAUGCCGCUUCCCCUCACGUCGCCGGCGAUGACGGCCGUAAAAGCAGCGGCCCCGGCCGCGGCGCUGCAGGGAGUGGCCCGCACGACUGUCCGCUCUCCGCUGGUGCAACACACGAGCAGCUGGUGGAUCCGCUGGCAAACAUGGGCACGCUUCUGCCGCCUGGCUUGGGCGAGGAUGACUACGACGAGGAGCGCACGUACUCUGAACAGAAGGAGCAACGUGAACAGCAUCAGCGGCAUCAGUACGUCCGGACCCCACCAGCGGCGCGGGACGGCGCCAGUAUCGCCUCUACGGUGUCGUCGGCCAGCCCCACAGCACACGACUCGACGCCAGGGUACGACGCCGCAACCGCACGGUGGCUCGCCUGUCUGCUCGCCAAGGUGCAUCCAGAUGCGCUGCCGAUCGCCACACUGGAGAAGAUCUGCAAAGUACCCCUGACGGGCUCACCUAACGCGGCAGCAUCAUCACCUGCACGCGGCGGGGCAGCUGCUCGUCGGCAAGUCGCAAGCACUACCGCCGCGGCCAGCAUUGGCAACUGGCCGUCUGCUACUGGAGUGAACGACUCCCCAUCGAUGAGCACCGUUGCCGUCUUGCCUCUGCUGCCCUCUCUCAAGUCGUCGCCGACCCCAUCGCCGCCCGGCGCGGCAUCGCCGAUGCCCGUUGGCGGAAGAAGAGACAUGCCGACUGGCAGUCCAAACAGCAACAGCGACGCCGCCCCGUCGUUGGCGGCCGCUGCGCCCUUCUCCACCUCACUCUCGCUUCUGUUCGCGACCCUCCUCUGGGACGUCGCCUGCGCGCUGUGGAACGAGGGCUUCAUCGAGGAUGCGCACCACUGGCUCUCCGUCAUGGACGUGCGACGGCUGUGGAAGCUCUACAAAGACUUGUGCCGCGGUGGCGAGGCCGCUGCCUUCAGAGAGCCCCCAGAGGAGAGCGUGAAGAGUGGCGACCGCGCCUGUGCGCUGAGCUGGCCGGCGGUGUUGGCAGAGAGCUGCGACGCAGACAUGUCGCCGUCCUCGCGCCGGCCAUCGCGGUCAUCGGCAGCGACGGAAAGCCCGUCAGGAGGCGCCGGCCAGACUAACCACUCCAGUGGCGCGCAGCAGGAGAACGUCGUUUCCAGUCCAGCUGUGCCACCACCUCGACAAGGGAUCCUGCUCUCUGCCCUUGCUCAGGUUGGCGGGCCGCUGCCCAUGACCGACUUGGCCGCGUGCUUCACCGACCCGGCAGAGUUCGAGGUCGGCAACGUGGGCAAGGACGCGGUGGCGGCUGCCGCGCAGUCGAGGACGGAGGAGCGCAGUGUGGGCGACGACGCAGCAGCGAUGCAUGCGGAGACACGAACGGCUGCCCUCGCCAGAUUUGUCCGCCGCCUCGCACGCCGCACGAGCGCGCUGCGUGACCUCUGCGGGCUCAUGAUCGCCUGCGAGACAGCCGAAGACGUUUUCUACGUCAUGUACGCCCUGAGCAGCGCUCUCGUGACACAGCAGUGGAAGUACGGCCAGCAGCAGGAGCGACAGCGAGCGGACGAAGCAGCAGCUGCGGCCAGAGGGGCAGCCGCCACCACAGCCUCAGCCACCGCGACUACGACUAACGGCGGGCUGUCUGAGCUGCUCAUCAUUGCGAACCUCCUCAUCGAACUCUUCAUAACGAAGCGGGCCCAGCAGCUGCUGUUGGAAGAGGGCGGACUGGACGAAUUCGCCUCUGGCAUCGCCACCGCGCCGUCGCCGCUGGCGGCGGACGGACGUGGGGGUAGUGCGGAGGAUGCACCGCGCAGGCUUUCACGUCAGCAGCAGCGGCGGCGCACCGACCGCGCCAUUCGCCGCGCGUGCGACGAGGUUGUCUGCGCCUUCACGAAUGGGCGCUGUCUCACCCUCUAUGCACUCGAAUCGUAUGGCAUCCCGCCCCCGUGCGACGGCGACAGCAACACCGCGGAGGCGCAACUGUUGGCACCUGAGCUACCCUACGUUCUCGUGAGCAACCUACUGAGCAGCACGCUCAACUACUCCACUCGCUACCUCUUUAGCAAGGUGUACCACGGCGUCAUGGGGUGCCGCGGCCACGCCGCGGCAGAGCGCCAUCAGGAGGCUGAGAUGAGCAACCCAUCACCAUCAUCUUCGCCAUCAGAGGCCGCCGCCGCCGCGUCUAUUCCAAGUCAUCCGAACCGCACACGACGCGCCACAGAUGAGGAGAAGGAGCGCCGCCGCGCAUGGACGAGGCCGCCUGCUGCUGCUGUCACUGCAGCGGCGGCGCCGCAGAGGACGCCACCGCUGCACGCACACGCUUCACCAGCAUCGGCAUCCGCGACCAUCACAGCCUCCGUGCAGAGCGUCGCUGGCGAGCUCUUCGGCCUCAUGAGGAAGACGGCGGUGAACUGGCGCGACCUCGGCAACUUCGGUCACGCCGGUGUAGCCCUGCAGUCAUGCAGCAGGGACAACUGCAACUACGGCUGUAGGCAUCACCACCACGACGUGCGACCGUCCUUCAGCAUGGCUGAUGCGCCUGGCGGUGAUCCGCUGCGUGGACGGGAAGGCGGUGGCGGGUAUGCAGAGCGUCUCGCCGCCGCGCGCCGCGAGCAUCGCGCGGCCGCGGGGGACGGUGGCAGCAAAGAACGAGUGCAGCUCGGGGAGGCGACGCCGUGGUCGGCUGGAUCACCCGCAACGGUCACCAGCAACAACAGCAGCUUAGCGGACGCCCGAAGCACCACCGGCGCCUACCGCGGCAGGGCCGACGGCGAUGCACCGUCUAUGUCGCUUCCGUGCCGGGCUGGUCGAAGCCGCGGGUGCGCGCUCAAGACGAGGGGGGUGGGGGCUGCGGAAAUGAUGCUGCCGUCCUCCUCGUCCAUCGCGGUGUCGCUCUUGGCUGAAGAGAACGAACUGACAGGCCUCGCCGACGCCGUCAACGACCUCUACCUCGCCCCCGCAGCACCUGCGAGCCAAGAAGAAGCACCACCGUCGCCGCCGCAGUCGGCGACGGUGGUGCACACGGCAGCCGCCCACCUCCAGAGCCGAUCCCCUAGCGAGGCCGUCAGCCUGCGGCUACUCGCACUGCUGUAUCGGUACCCGCAGCUGCACACGCUGGAGCCGGUCACAGCGAGCCACGUUGGCCUUGUAGCGAAGGAGCUGAACAAGGCCCUGCACAUCCUACAGACGGCGAUGCGGGGCCGUUUUGGCGAUGGGUGGUGGCUGCAGUGGCGCUCACGACGCGAGGGCGAGACGCAGCGCUACUACGCACGCGCUCUGGCGGAUGCGCAGCGCGGCGGCUACCCCCUGAGCUUGCCGGCCACGGCAUUGCCAUCGCCCCCCGCAAGGGUUGCAGGAGUAGCUGGCGCUGCGGUGGCACCACCGAGGACGAUAGGCAUGUCCGCGGUGCAGCCAGACCCGUCCCUGCUUCUUGUCGGAGCUCGGCCUUGGCACGCCUCCGUCGCGCAUGAGCAGGGUAAGAUGAACGCGUGGGGGCUGGACGCGAGGGGGUGCAAUGGCGUACCCCCGCCGUCCGCGCCGCCACCGUCCUCGGGGGCACACACGGUUCUCUCCGACCUGUGGUGCACGCGCACCUUGACGAUACCGACGGAUGAGGAGCUGCGAAAGCCUCUUCAAGAUCUGAGGGGGCAUUUUACGGGCACCACUACUUCGCCAGCCGCGUCCAGGGCAACGGCAGCCGCUGCGACGGACACCACGUCCGCGUCCGCGGCAGCGAUGCACGAAGACGCGCAGGCGGCUGGGAUGCUGCUCGAUGUAGACUGGGACAUCCCACCAGCCUACACGCCAGACGUCUCACUCGACUUCUCAGCCUUCACGACGACGUCGGUGGAGACGCAGGAGAGCACGCGGCAGCUCGUGGAGUCUCUGCAGCAGCGGGAGCAGGCGCUUGGCGACGACGGUGACGGCCGUGACGACGAUUACAGCUGUGACGACGCCGCAGGUGCGCCCGGCGUGUCGGUGCUGUCGCGUGCGUGUCGGCGGCUGCUGCACAACGAGCUGCCAUUGCUGCAGCAGUACAGCCCGUGGCGCGUCAUCUACAGUACGCGGAUGCAUGGCAUCAGCCUAAGCACGCUCUUCUCCAACUGCCGCCGUGAGGCGGAGCGCCAGGGCCUCUCCGGCUACGCCGCCAACUCUGUAGUGUCCACCACGCCGUCGGACUCUAAGCCGAUGCUGCUCGUUCUGGAGUUGCCGUCGUCGGCAACGCUGCAAUUCUCCGAGGAUGACGCCGGCGUGCGAGAGGCUUGGGCCGACGCCGACACGUCCUCCUCUACAGCUCGGCCGGAUGCGCCCAGGCAAACCGAUGGUGGCCGCCGCCGCCACCAUUGCCACAACAAACUCUUCGUUGGCGCUUUCCUCUCCGACUUGCUGCGACUCGAGUCGCGGCGGUACUACGGCAGUCAAGAGUGUUUUGUGUUCCAGCUGUUCGUGCCUGGCACUGUCGGGGGCGAAGCGACCGCGUCCGGCGCGUCCGCUGCCUCAGCGGGGCCGCAGCUCCGUGUGUAUCGCGCCACUCGCAGCAACACGCAGUACAUCAACUGCCGCGCCACGUCCAUCGUGAUCGGCGGUGGUGACGGCGGGAGCAGCAUCUACCUUGACGACACCCUCUGCCACGGUGCGACAAGCGCGUGCGCCACGUUUGCGUCGCCGCCGCUGAGCACCUGGGUGUCGACUCCGUGCGAAGCGGCCGGGGACGGUGCCGAUGGCGAGAGCGACAUGCACAGGCGGCAGAAAAGUUUGUGCGUCUUGAACGUGGAGGUCAUUGUGAUGGACGCGUAGGACGUUCUGCGAGCGCGCGUGUUCGUGCAUCUCUCUGCGGCUGUAUGUAGUACUGUGGGUACCAUGUCUGCACGUUCGUGGUGCGAAGGGCCCACCAACCUCGGCUGCUGCGUCCACGCGCGCACGCAUGCAACUGAAAUCAGCGCCGGCACCGACCUUUUCUGAUGAUCGCUAUCGAGACAAGUGAUGCUGUUUUUUUGUUUGCGUUACCCUCGACAUCCCAGCAACACCAGCACCUCUCUUCCCUUCUCUCUCGCUCUCUCCGUGUUUUGUUUGCGCUGCUUCCUGUGGAGAUUUCUCGGCGGAAGUGCUCUGUUCUGUGGUAUCACGAUGUCUUUUUUCGCGCUCCAACACCACCACCACGACGGGCGCCACAGCCGCCGCGGCCGUCGCCUCUCUCCCUCUUUUAUGGUCCAUGGCUCGAUGAUGCUCUCUCAUCAGGUGUGUGUGUGUGCGCGCACACAUGUGUGUAUGCGGAUGAGGGUGUGUUCCCCGAAUAUUCGUGGCUGCUUGCCACGGAUUGGCUUCGGAUCCUUCUCUUCUUCCUUUGCUGCAGCUGUUUUUUCUCGGUUACUCCUUUU